rnacentral:rRNA from 1 species
UACGUAGGGGGCAAGCGUUGUCCGGAAUCAUUGGGCGUAAAGAGCGCGUAGGCGGCCCGGUAAGUCCGCUGUGAAAGUCAAGGGCUCAACCCUUGAAUGCCGGUGGAUACUGUCGGGCUAGAGUCCGGAAGAGGCGAGUGGAAUUCCUGGUGUAGCGGUGAAAUGCGCAGAUAUCAGGAAGAACACCCGUGGCGAAGGCGGUUCUCUGGGACGGUACUGACGCUGAGACGCGAAAGCGUGGGGAGCGAACAGG